GCACCGGCUAACUCUGUGCCAGCAGCCGCGGUAAUACAGAGGGUGCGAGCGUUAAUCGGAUUUACUGGGCGUAAAGCGUGCGUAGGCGGCUUUUUAAGUCGGAUGUGAAAUCCCCGAGCUUAACUUGGGAAUUGCAUUCGAUACUGGGAAGCUAGAGUAUGGGAGAGGAUGGUAGAAUUCCAGGUGUAGCGGUGAAAUGCGUAGAGAUCUGGAGGAAUACCGAUGGCGAAGGCAGCCAUCUGGCCUAAUACUGACGCUGAGGUACGAAAGCAUGGGGAGCAAACAGGAUUAGAUACCCUGGUAGUCCAUGCCGUAAACGAUGUCUACUAGCCGUUGGGGCCUUUGAGGCUUUAGUGGCGCAGCUAACGCGAUAAGUAGACCGCCUGGGGAGUACGGUCGCA
rnacentral:rRNA from 1 species